UUUGUGGAGAGUUUGAUCCUGGCUCAGGACGAACGCUGGCGGCAUGCCUAACACAUGCAAGUCGAACGGAGAGCUGAAGUUUCGAUGGAAGCUCUUAGUGGCGGACGGGUGAGUAACGCGUGGAUAACCUGCCUGAGAGUGGGGGAUAACAGCCCGAAAGGGCUGCUAAUACCGCAUAACGUUGUCUGGGGACAUCCCCGGACAACCAAAGGAGCAAUCCGCUCUUGGAUGGGUCCGCGUCCGAUUAGCU
rnacentral:rRNA from 1 species